rnacentral:rRNA from 1 species
GCUAGAAACCCAGCCCCCACAAACAAACAAGUUACAACUACACCAAAACAAACAAAACAAAACAUUCCUUUAGCUAAGUAAAGGUGAUUAAAAAGCAUUUGGGAGCUUCAGUAUUAGUACCGUAAGGGAAAAGGUGAAAUAAAAAUGAAAUAAACUUAAAGCACCACAAAGUAAAGAUUACCCCUUGUACCUUUUGCAUCAUGAUCUAACUAGUAUAAUCAAGCAAAAUGAACUUUAAGUUUGACCCCCCGAAACUAGACGAGCUACUUCAAAACAGCCUAACGGGCCAACCCACCUCUGUUGCAAAAGAGUGGGAAGAUUUUCAAGUAGAAGUGACAGACCUAUCGAGCCUAGAGAUAGCUGGUUAUUCAGGAAAUGGAUAUCAGUCCUGCUUUAAAUCUUAACGUAACACACCAAAAAAUACACUAAUAGCUUUAAAACUCACUCAAAUAAGGUUCAGCCUAUUUGAAACAGGAUACAGCCUAUAACACCGGGUAAUGCCACCAUAUGUGAUCAAGUGGGCCUGAAAGCAGCCACCUUUAAAAAAGCGUUACAGCCUAAUCACUCUCUAACCAUAAUCCCAACCUAAACCCAAAACCCUUCACCCCUACUGAAUGACCCCAUACCAAUAUGGGAAACCAUAUGUUAGAACUAGUAACAAGAAUGACUUCUCCUAUAUGUACGUGUAAGCCGGAAUGAACAAAUCACCGGCACUUACCGCCAAUGAACCUAAAAUAGCAACACCACAAGAAAACCCUACUUUUCCCAGCGUUAACCUUACACUAGAACUUAUCAGGAAAGAUUAAAAGAAUGGGAAGGAACUCGGCAAACACUAAUCCCGCCUGUUUACCAAAAACAUCGCCUUCUGUUAACUAAUAGGAGGUCCAGCCUGCCCAGUGACAAACUUAAACGGCCGCGGUAUUUUAACCGUGCGAAGGUAGCACAAUCACUUGUCCUUUAAAUAAAGACUAGUAUGAAUGGCACCACGAGGAUUGUGCUGUCUCCCCCCUUUAAUCAGUGAAACUAACCCCCCCGUGAAGAGGCGGGGAUGACCUUAUAAGACGAGAAGACCCCAUGGAGCUUCAAACAAGUAUCACUUGCACUAUCACAUACACCAAUUAAGCCAAGCAAGCUUGCCUACUAGUUUUUGGUUGGGGUGACCAUGGAGCAAAACAAAGCCUCCACGAUGAAAGGAAAUAACCUCCUAAUCAAAGAGCUACUACUCACAGAAUCAAAAAAUUGACUUAACUUGAUCCAAUAAAUUUGAGCAACGAACCAAGUUACCCUGGGGAUAACAGCGCAAUCCAUUUCAAGAGCUCCUAUCGACAAAUGGGUUUACGACCUCGAUGUUGGAUCCGGGUAUCCAAGUGGUGCAGCCACUACUAAAGGUUCGUUUGUUCAACGAUUAAAACCCC